rnacentral:rRNA from 1 species
UACGAAGGGGGCUAGCGUUGUUCGGAUUUACUGGGCGUAAAGCGCACGUAGGCGGAUUGUUAAGUCGGGGGUGAAAUCCUGGAGCUCAACUCCAGAAUUGCCUUCGAUACUGGCUUUCUAGAGGCUGGAAGAGGUUAGUGGAAUUCCCAGUGUAGAGGUGAAAUUCGUAGAUAUUGGGAAGAACACCAGUGGCGAAGGCGGCUAACUGGUCCAGAUCUGACGCUGAGGUGCGAAAGCG